rnacentral:lncRNA from 1 species
GAAAAAUCUAUCUCAUUGUGAAACAACUACUUGUUCUGACAAUGGUUAUUAUGUGGGUCAGGAAUGUAGACAGGGUUCAACGGUGAUGGUUUAUGCCUGGCACAUAGCUCUGGAUAUCAGCGGAAAGAAAGUUCAAAGGGUAACUUGGGUUCUGGGGGCUGACAUCACCUGGAGGCUUGUUCGUUUUUCACUUCUAGGGAAGAUUGUAAAGCAGAAUCUUAUUAUGGUUGUGGAUGAGAACAGCUACAACUGUGUGCAUCUGGUACCCAGAGGGAAACCGCUGCCUUUCCUAGUCUGGCACUGAAUUCCGAUGUGCCCCGCCAUAGUCUGUCAAGGUGGUCUGCUAAUCCUACCUCCACCAUCGCACCUCUUGAUGGGGGAGUACAAGCUUCUGGGAAGAGUAGAGUCUGUUUCAGGAGUCGUUUGUUUUCAUCUCUUUGGAACAAGCAGACAUGUCCAAGUGAGGAAAAGGAUGCUAACACUGGGCGUGUUUCCUCCCUGGUCUCAGCCUCACAGGUCCUUACUGCUCGAGUGUCUCUUUGAUGUCCUUUGCAAAGAUUACUGCCAACAUUGUGAGUUCUUAGUGAAAAAGAGUUUCUUUCUGGGAAGGAAAGACUGCCCAGUGCCUUAGAUAAAUCCACAGCUCCAUAGUAACAUGCAAACAGUAAAUACUACACCUGAGAUCAUAGAAAUAGAGGAGAAAUUAAAAC